UACAGAGGUCUCAACCGUUGUUCGGAUUCAUUGGGCGUAAAGGGUGUGUAGGCGGUGCGGAAAGUUGGGUGUGAAAUCCCUCGGCUCAACCGAGGAACUGCGCCCAAAACUACCGUACUCGAGGAAGAUAGAGGUGAGCGGAACUUACGGUGGAGCGGUGAAAUGCGUUGAUAUCGUAAGGAACACCCGUGGCGAAAGCGGCUCACUGGGUCUUCUCUGACGCUGAUGCACGAAAGCUAGGGGAGCAAACGGG
rnacentral:rRNA from 1 species